GCCUUCAUGGUGUAAUUAGAAAUACAUCUGACUAGCAAUCAGGAGGUUUAGAGUUCAAAUCCCUCGAGGGCA
rnacentral:tRNA from 1 species